rnacentral:lncRNA from 1 species
GGGGGGGGGGGCGCAGCCGCCGCCUCCUCCCGGUCCUCGCCGCCCUCGGGGCCGUCGCUCUCGGGGCCGCCGCCGCCGCCGCCGCUUUGCUGGGGGUGCUCCGGGGGGAGAGCCCCGCACACGGCCCCCCCCCGCAGGGUGCCACGGCCGCCCACCUGCUGCUGAGCACCGGCUCGCUGGCGGUGUCCUCCAGACCCUUGUGGCGCUACGAGGAAGGCAUCAGCGGAGUCUUCCUCAGCAGUGACCUGGAGGUGACGGCCGCGGGGCUGCAGGUGGCGGCGGGGGGGCUCUACCUCCUCUACGGGCAAUUCGCCCUCACCUGCAUAGCCGAAAAUUGCCCCCCCGGCAACGUCACCCUGCAGCUGCGCCGUGCCGGCUCCGUGCCCCCGCUGCUCUCCGUGCCGCUGGUGCUGCC